AGAUUGAACGCUGGCGGCAGGCCUAACACAUGCAAGUCGAGCGGUAGAGAGAAGCUUGCUUCUCUUGAGAGCGGCGGACGGGUGAGUAACACGUGGGAACGUGCCCUUUGGUUCAGAACAACUCAGGGAAACUUGAGCUAAUACUGGAUAAGCCCUUCGGGGGAAAGAUUUAUCGCCAUUGGAGCGGCCCGCGUCUGAUUAGCUAGUUGGUAGGGUAAAGGCCUACCAAGGCUACGAUCAGUAGCUGGUCUGAGAGGAUGAUCAGCCACACUGGGACUGAGACACGGCCCAGACUCCUACGGGAGGCAGCAGUAGGGAAUCUUGCGCAAUGGGCGAAAGCCUGACGCAGCCAUGCCGCGUGAAUGAUGAAGGUCUUAGGAUUGUAAAAUUCUUUCAGCGGGGACGAUAAUGACGGUACCCGCAGAAGAAGCCCCGGCUAACUUCGUGCCAGCAGCCGC
rnacentral:rRNA from 1 species